rnacentral:rRNA from 1 species
GAUGAACGCUAGCGGCAGGCUUAAUACAUGCAAGUCGAGGGGCAGCAGGGUGUAGCAAUACAUCGCUGGCGACCGGCAAACGGGUGAGGAACACGUGCGCAACCUCCCUUCAAGUGAGGA